UAAUAAAUUUGUGCAGGGAAAUGGGUGUGUCCAAGCUGCAGCGGAGUAACAGCACGUAGUAUUUGCAAACGAACAGGAGAAAACGUCCAGAUCAAUUACAUGAAAUCGCAUUUGAUAUAUAAAACAAUCUUGUCACAGCUAAGAACUAGGAAAAUACGACAACGGAAAAUAGCAAGAAACCCACUGAGAAUGCUACAAAUGCUGUGAUCCAUUUUUGGGUGAUACAGUAAAACACUAAUUUGUGUACUUACAAAAAGGUGGACUCAUCCUUAAUCCAUUAAUAUUUUUCUGCAACCACUGGAACUGAGCUCAAACUCAAAUAUGAUGUAAAUAGACCAUUGUAUUAUAGAAGAUGAGAAGCAGAAACUCUCAGGAAUACCUGUAAUGCUGCCUUUAGAGCACGUAGUUCUCCAGUUGGACAACUCUCAAGUUGCUGGGCUUAAGACUGAUGAACUACAAGAGGAAAUUAUCAACAAAUGAAUCCUUCAAAGGAUGGUGUACUGGCAAGUAUUCCACAGGGGACACUCAGGAUCCACUAUUUUAUGUGUAUUAAUAAUCUUGUGUUGCCUAUAUAUUUAUUGAAAAAGUUGUCACAAUAGCAGUAAGAAUAUGUGCCGAAUAGCAAGUAUAGACUGUUGAGUCAGAAUUUGUAUGAGAAAUAAUGAGAUAUACCCCAACUCGCCAAACAGAUGUAGACUAUGGUGAGUGGUUAAUAAAUCAUUGCCCUACAGCCAGACAGAGACUGGAGGGCUGCUAGUCCUCUACCAACGAGAACUAGGAACACUGAAUCCCAUUCUUCAAAACCAGAUAUCCCACAAUUAUGCCCAAAGUGAUAGAAUGUAGUGGUAAAAUAUUGACAUGUUUUGUGAAAAUAUGUAUAACUCUGUUGAAAAUAAAGAAUGAUUGCAGUCGUAA